UCACUGCCACACCCCGGCUACCGACGCCUCGGGCGUGGUCAAGGCCGUCAUGGACGACCUGUUCGACUACUUCGGCUCCAUGAACCUGCCGGCCUCAGGUGCGUAUCGCCCCUGGGCCUGCUGCCUCGAACAUGUGUGGGCGCCCGUGCAUUGCUUCCGACAUCGCCAUCCUUGGGUGUCCAUCGCAAACCGCCGAUGAUCGAUCACGACCGUAUCACCGGGGUCUGCGAAAUGCCCCUGGCCAUCGCUUCCUGUCCCCUGGGUGCGAUUAAGCCCGCUAAGGGGACCA
rnacentral:rRNA from 1 species